rnacentral:rRNA from 1 species
CUCGAACGUAAGAUGACUGUAGGUGAAAGCUUACAUCUCUUCGGAGCAUUUUACGAGGUGCUGCAUGGUUGUCGUCAGCUCGUGCCGUGAGGUGUCGGGUUAAGUCCCGAUAACCGAGCGCAACCCUACCUUUACGUUGCCAUCAGGUAAUGCUGGGGACUCUAAAGGAACUGCCUACGCAAGUAGUGAGGAAGGCGGGGAUGACGUCAAAUCAGCACGGCCCUUACCGUCCAGGGCUACACACGUGCUACAAUGGCCGAUACAGAGGGCGAGCUAACCUGGUGACAGGAUGCAAAUCUCCAAAGUCGGUCUCAGUUCGGAUCGGAGUCUGCAACCCGACUCCGUGAAGUUGGAUUCGCUAGUAAUCGCGCAUCAGCCAUGGCGCGGUGAAUACGUUCCCGGGCCUU